UGACACUGAGGUUCGAAAGCGUGGGUAGCAAACAGGAUUAGAUACCCUGGUAGUCCACGCCGUAAACGAUGUCUACUAGUCGUUGGGUCCCUUGAGGACUUAGUGACGCAGCUAACGCAAUAAGUAGACCGCCUGGGGAGUACGGCCGCAAGGUUAAAACUCAAAUGAAUUGACGGGGGCCCGCACAAGCGGUGGAGCAUGUGGUUUAAUUCGAUGCAACGCGAAGAACCUUACCUGGUCUUGACAUCCAC
rnacentral:rRNA from 1 species